GCCGCUCGGACGGAGCCGCGCUGCGGCACCGCGGCCACGCGUGGGACCCACAAAGGGCCGCCCCAUAAGUAACCACGGCCCCAUAAGUGAGCGCGGCCCCAUAAGUGAGCGCGGCCCCAUAAGGCUGCCCCAUAAGUAACCACGGCCCCAUAAGUGAGCGCGGCCCCAUAAGUGAGCGCGGCCCCAUAAGGCUGCCCCAUAAGUAACCACGGCCCCAUAAGUGAGCGCGGCCCCAUAAGGCCGCCCCAUAAGUAAGCACGGCCCCAUGAGUAAGCAUGGCCCCAUGAGCGAGCACGGCCCCAUAAGGCUGCCCCAUAAGUUACCACGGCCCCAUAAGGCCACCCCAUAAGUUACCACGGCCCCAUAAAUAACCACGGCCCUAUAAAGCGGCCCCAUAAGUGAGCGCGGCCCCAUAAGGCCGCCCCAUAAGUAAGCAUGGGCCCAUAAGUGAGCACAGCCCCAUAAGGCAGCCCCAUAAGUGAGCGUGGCCCCAUGAGUAAGCACGGCCCCAUAAGUGAGCGCAGCCCCAUAAGUGAGCGCGGCCCCAUAAGUGAGCGCGGCCCCAUGAGUGAGCGCGGCCCCAUGAGUGAGCGCGGCCCCAUAAGGCUGCCCCAUAAGUAACCACGGCCCCAUGAGUGAGCGCGGCCCCAUAAGGCUGCCCCAUAAGUAACCACGGCCCCAUGAGUGAGCGCGGCCCCAUAAGGCUGCCCCAUAAGUAACCACGGCCCCACGAGUGAGCGCGGCCCCAUGAGUGAGCGCGGCCCCAUAAGGCUGCCCCAUAAGUAACCACGGCCCCAUAAGUAACCACGGCCCCAUAAGGCUGCCCCAUAAGUAACCACGGCCCCAUAAGUAACCACGGCCCCAUAAGGCUGCCCCAUAAGUAACCACGGCCCCAUAAGUGAGCGCGGCCCCAUAAGGCUGCCCCAUAAGUAACCACGGCCCCAUAAGUGAGCACGGCCCUAUGAGUAAGCACGGCCCUAUAAGGCCGCCCCAUGAGUAAGCACGGCCCCAUAAGCGAGCACGGCCCCAUAAGGCCGCCCCAUAAGUAACCACAGCCCCAUAAGUGAGCGGAGUCCCAUACAUAACCAUGGCCCCAUAAGGCCACCCCAUAAGUUACCACGGCCCCAUAAAUAACCACGGCCCUAUAAAGCGGCCCCAUAAGUGAGCGCGGCCCCAUAAGUGAGCAAAGCCCCAUAAGGCCGCCCCAUAAGUGAGUGCGGCCCCAUAAGGCCACCCCAUAAGUAACCACGGCCCCAUAAGGGCCACCCUAUAAGUAACCACAGCCCCAUAAGUGAACACGGCCCCAUAAAACCGCCCCAUAAGUGAGCACGGCCCCAUAAGAACGCCCCAUAAGUGAGCACGGCCCCAUAAGGCCGCCCCAUAUGUUACCACAGCCCCAUAAGUGAGCGCGGCCCCAUAAGUGAGCGCGGCCCCAUAAGGCCACCCCAUAAGUAACCACGACCCCAUGAGUGAGUGCAGCCCCAUGAGGCCGCCCCAUGAGUGAGCACGGCCCCAUAAGUAACCACGGCCCCAUAAGGCCGCCCCAAAAGUAACCACGGCCCCAUAAGUGAGUGCGGCCCCAUAAGGCCACCCCAUAAGUAACCACGGCCCCAUAAGGGCCACCCUAUAAGUAACCACAGCCCCAUAAGUGAACACGGCCCCAUAAAACCGCCCCAUAAGUGAGCACGGCCCCAUAAGAACGCCCCAUGAGUGAGCACGGCCCCAUAAGUGAACACAGCCCCAUAAGUGAGCGCGGCCCCAUAAGUGAGCGCGGCCCCAUAAGGCCACCCCAUAAGUAACCACGACCCCAUGAGUGAGUGCAGCCCCAUGAGGCCGCCCCAUAAGUGAGCACGGCCCCAUAAGUAACCACGGCCCCAUAAGGCCGCCUCAAAAGUAACCACGGCCCCAUAAGUGAGCACGGCCCUAUGAGUAACCACGGCCCCAUAAAGCCACCCCAUAAGUAACCACGGCCCCAUGAGUGAGCACGGCCCCAUAAGUGAGCGCGGCCCCAUAAGGCCGCCCCACAAGUAACCACAGCCCCAUGAGGCCGCCCCACAAGUAACCACGGCCCCAUAAAGGCCGCCCCAUAAGUAACCACGGCCCCAUAAGGCACCCCCAUAAGUAACCACGGCCCUAUAAGGGCCCCCCCAAUAAGUAACCACAGCCCCAUAAGGCCGCCCCAUAAGUAACCACGGCCCCAUAAGGCCGCCCCAUAAGUAACCGCAGCCCCAUAAGUAACCGCAGCCCCAUAAGGGCCGCCCCACAAGUAACCACAGCCCCAUGAGGCCGCCCCACAAGUAACCACAGCCCCAUGAGGCCGCCCCAUAAGUAACCACAGCCCCAUAAGGCCGCCCCAUAAGUAACCACGGCCCCAUAAAGGCCGCCCCAUAAGCAACCUUAACCCCAUAAGGGCCGCCCCAUAAGCAAGUAUAGCCCUAGAAGGGCCACUUCAUAAGCAACCUCAGCCCCAUAAGUAACCUCAGUACCAUAAGGCCACCCCAUAAGUAACUGCAGCCCCAUAAGGCCGCCCCAUAAGUAACCACAGCCCCAUAAGGCCGCCCCAUAAGCAUCUGCAGCCCCAUAAGGCCGCCCCAUAAGUAACCACAGCCCCAUAAGGCCGCCCCAUAAGUAACCACAGCGCCAUAAGGCCACCCCAUAAGUAACCACACCCCAUAAAGGCCGCCCCAUAAGUAACCUCAGCCCCAUAAGGCCACUCCAUAAGUAACCACGGCCCCAUAAGGCACCCCCAUAAGUAACCACAGCCCCAUAAGCAACCUCAACCCCAUAAGGGCUGCCCCAUAAGUAAGCACAACCCUAUAAGGGCCACUUCGAAAGCAAUCUCAGCCCCAUAAGUAACCUCAGUCCCAUAAGGCCACCCCAUAAGUAACUGCAGCCCCAUAAGGCCGCCCCAUAAGUAACCACAGCCCCAUAAGGCCGCCCCAUAAGUAACCUCAACCCCAUAACAGCCGCCCCAUAAGUAACCACAGCGCCAUAAGGCCGCCCCAUAAGUAACCACAGCCCCAUAAACGCCGCCCCAUAAGUAACCACGGCCCUAUAAGGGCCCCCCCAUAAGUAACUGCAGCCCCAUAAGCAACCUCAACCCCAUAACGGCCGCCCCAUAAGUAACCACGGCCCCAUAAGACCGCCCCAUAAGUAACCACAGCCCCAUAAGACCGCCCCAUAAGUAACCACAGCCCCAUGAGUAAGCACGGCCCCAUAAGUAACCACGGCCCUAUAAGGGCCCCCCCAAUAAGUAACCACAGCCCCAUAAGGCCGCCCCAUAAGUAACCACGGCCCCAUAAGGCCGCCCCAUAAGUAACCACGGCCCCGUAAGGGCCACCCCAUAAGGGCCGCUCCGUAAGUAACCACGGCCCCAUAAGUAACCCCGGCCCCAUAAGUGACCUCAGCCCCAUAAGUAACGGCCGCCCCAUAAGUAACCACGGCCCUAUAAGGGCCCCCCCAUAAGUAACCGCAGCCCCAUAAACAACCUCAACCCCAUAAGGGCCGCCCCAUAAGUAACGGCCGCCCCAUAAGUAACCCCGGCCCCAUAAGGCCGCCCCAUAAGUAACCCCGGCCCCAUAAGUGACCUCAGCCCCAUAAGUAACGGCCGCCCCAUAGGGCCGCCCGCAGCCGCUCACCGCUCAGCGCCGCUCC
ensembl:lncRNA